rnacentral:rRNA from 1 species
UAUGGNUCAACCAUAGUGUGCUCUGGAAACUGUCUGACUNGAGUGCAGAAGGGGAGAGUGGAAUUCCAUGUGUAGCGGUGAAAUGCGUAGAUAUAUGGAGGANCACCAGUGGCGAAAGCGGCUCUCUGGUCUGUCACUGACGCUGAGGCUCGAAAGCGUGGGUAGCGAACAGGAUUAGAUACCCUGGUAGUNCACGCCGUAAACGAUGAGUGCUAGGUGUUAGGCCCUUUCCGGGGCUUAGUGCCGGAGCUAACGCAAUAAGCACUCCGCCUGGGGAGUACGACCGCAAGGUUGAAACUCAAAGGAAUUGACGGGGGCCCGCACAAGCGGUGGAGCAUGUGGUUUAAUUCGAAGCAACGCGAAGAACCUUACCAGGUCUUGACAUCCCGAUGCUAUUCUUAGAGAUAGGAAGUUACUUCGGUACAUCGGAGACAGGUGGUGCAUGGUUGUCGUCAGCUCGUGUCGUGAGAUGUUGGGUUAAGUCCCGCAACGAGCGCAACCCUUAUUGUUAGUUGCCAUCAUUAAGUUGGGCACUCUAGCGAGACUGCCGGUAAUAAACCGGAGGAAGGUGGGGAUGACGUCAAAUCAUCAUGCCCCUUAUGACCUGGGCUACACACGUGCUACAAUGGUCGGUACAACGAGUUGCGAGCCGGUGACGGCAAGCUAAUCUCUGAAAGCCGAUCUCAGUUCGGAUUGGAGGCUGCAACUCGCCUCCAUGAAGUCGGAAUCGCUAGUAAUCGCGGAUCAGCACGCCGCGGUGAAUACGUUCCCGGGCCUUGUACACACCGCCCGUCACACCACGAGAGUUUGUAACACCCGAAGNCGGUGAGGUAACCUUUUAGGGGCC